UCGACAAAAAAAGAAAGAAAGAAAAGGCCAAUCUCAGCCCAGCGAGCGGUCCGUCUGUCCAAUCAGCUGUCAGCAGGGCUUUGUGCCUGAGUCUGACUGCAGGACGGACCUGUCAAUCAUCUGGUGUGCAGCUUACUUGAAAUGACAUCUGUCCCGAGCAGAUGUUUAAUGAGCCUUAGCGGAGCACAAUGAGAGCCGGGCUUUGUGAGGAAAAGGAAAACAAACUGGUUGAGUUCAUGCUGCACCACCGCUGGAGCAGCGAGCAGCCAGAGGAUCACGCUCUGCAGCUUCGAGGUAAAAGGCUGAGGCUGUUAAACUACAACCUCGAUACCACUCCCACCCUGAUGACAUCCGGGCCCCCCGGGCUCACAUCACCGCUGCAUUAUGUAAUCACAGAGCACACAAGAACAACAAUCUUGGAAAAAAAAAUGCUCAUGUGUCACCGAACUGAAUCAGAAUAAAUGCAUUAAAGACGUCUUAGUAUGCUGA